rnacentral:pre_miRNA from 1 species
UGGGGAUUAAUGACUGUCUGGGGUCAUCAUCUCCUCCCAGUUAGUUAUUAAUCCCCAGG